ACGUGGUUUGGGGUCAUGGUUGCUCCUGGUUGGAGUGUGUACGAAUUCCCAAGUGAGAAUUUCGUCCGGCUGUGAUUGGGUCUGCGCUUGCGAGCGAGAGACGUUGCGUGUAUCGAGACAGGCUAGGCAGUAGGCCUUCGUAGUAUUGGUGGUCUUUAGUCCACCCGUGGAAACCAACGUAAACAGUAUCGCUAAUAACUCUGUUGAUGAGUGGUGAUUAGAUUCACGAACGGAGUGUUCGUGUGAGUUUGUUGCGAGAACGAAUUAAUGAUGGUCGUGGCAAUCAAGGGGAAGGUAAAGUGGUCUCUAGGAGACACUUGGAUAAUGGAUAGCCACGCGGAAUUGAGGGUUGAAAUUGGUAAGGUGCCGGAGUGUGCCACCUCGUAGUAGAGCAAAAGUCCAAUUGGGAUUAGAGCACUCGCGAUUGGCCGAUGCACCAACGAUAUAGCUUCUAUGCAAUGCCGGUGAUCAAAUCGGAGUGAAUUCCCCAAUUGAGUGUGUAAUGCACUUUUGGAGU
rnacentral:lncRNA from 1 species